rnacentral:rRNA from 1 species
UGGGGAAUAUUGCACAAUGGGCGCAAGCCUGAUGCAGCCAUGCCGCGUGUAUGAAGAAGGCCUUCGGGUUGUAAAGUACUUUCAGUCGGGAGGAAGGUGUCAAGGUUAAUAACCUUGGCAAUUGACGUUACCGACAGAAGAAGCACCGGCUAACUCCGUGCCAGCAGCCGCGGUAAUACGGAGGGUGCAAGCGUUAAUCGGAAUUACUGGGCGUAAAGCGCGCGCAGGCGGUUGAGUAAGUCAGAUGUGAAAUCCCCGGGCUUAACCCGGGAAUUGCAUCUGAUACUGGUCAGCUAGAGUCUUGUAGAGGGGGGUAGAAUUCCAUGUGUAGCGGUGAAAUGCGUAGAGAUGUGGAGGAAUACCGGUGGCGAAGGCGGCCCCCUGGACAAAGACUGACGCUCAGGUGCGAAAGCGUGGGGAGCAAACAGG